CAACCCAAUUCCUGUUUGUUUUAGCUCCCAAAGCACCAAGAAGAUUGUUAAGUAUUAGUCUAGAGACAAUCUCUCGAUCAGAGAUUGCUUAGGGAAAAAAAAAGAUUGAGAUGAGAUGAGAUGAGAUGAGAAUAGACUUGAUGAGAAGAGAAAUGAAAACUACAGAAAAGAGAAAGUAUUCUGUUAUUAAUUCCAAAAAUUAAUGAAUCUGUUACAGAUAAGGAUCACUACUUAUACAAAGUAGAAUAACUGCUAUUCAACUAAUUCUGUUACACUUGACAUCCUUUAGUCAUCCUAACUUCCUCACAAUGAUAUUUCCCUCCAAAAAUACAUUUUACCUGACCCUCUUCCCAUUCCUUUUCUUUCUCCUAGAUACGCUCGAAUCUAAGAUCCAUGCGUUGCUCCAAACUUUGUUCCCUGAUCAUCAUUGCGCGAAUCACUAUAAUUGCCACCUCCAUCAA
rnacentral:misc_RNA from 1 species